rnacentral:rRNA from 1 species
CCUGGUUAAUCCUGCCAGUAGUCAUAUGCUUGUCUCAAAGAUUAAGCCAUGCAUGUCUAAGUGCAUGCCAAAUUAAGGUGAAACCGCGAAUGGCUCAUUAAAUCAGUUAUGGUUCCUUAGAUCGUACCCACAUUUACUUGGAUAACUGUGGUAAUUCUAGAGCUAAUACAUGCAAACCAGAGUUCCGACCAGAGAUGGAAGGAACGCUUUUAUUAGAUCAAAACCAAUCGGUGGCGGGCUUUGCUCGUCCACCGUUUACUUUGGUGACUCUGAAUAACUUUGUGCUGAUCGCACGGUCUCGUACCGGCGACGCAUCUUUCAAAUGUCUGCCUUAUCAACUGUCGAUGGUAGGUUCUGCGCCUACCAUGGUUGUAACGGGUAACGGGGAAUCAGGGUUCGAUUCCGGAGAGGGAGCCUGAGAAACGGCUACCACAUCCAAGGAAGGCAGCAGGCGCGCAAAUUACCCACUCCCGGCACGGGGAGGUAGUGACGAAAAAUAACGAUACGGGACUCAUCCGAGGCCCCGUAAUCGGAAUGAGUACACUUUAAAUCCUUUAACGAGGAUCAAUUGGAGGGCAAGUCUGGUGCCAGCAGCCGCGGUAAUUCCAGCUCCAAUAGCGUAUAUUAAAGUUGUUGCGGUUAAAAAGCUCGUAGUUGAAUCUGUGUCGCACGCUGUCGGUUCGCCGCUCGCGGUGUUUAACUGACAUGCUCGUGAGACGUCCUACCGGUGGGCUUAGCUCCUUCGGGGGCGGUCCAACUAAUAUCCCAUCGCGGUGCUCUUUAUUGAGUGUCGAGGUGGGCCGGUACGUUUACUUUGAACAAAUUAGAGUGCUUAAAGCAGGCUAUCAUUUGCCUGAAUAUUCUGUGCAUGGAAUAAUGGAAUAGGACCUCGGUUCUAUUUUGUUGGUUUUAAGAAACCCGAGGUAAUGAUUAAUAGGGACAGAUGGGGGCAUUCGUAUUGCGACGUUAGAGGUGAAAUUCUUGGAUCGUCGCAA